CAGCCAGCUGGUGAAGAUAAGUGGUUCCCUGGAGUUUGGGAGCUGCUCUAGAAAAUUAAUCCUGGGAAGGGGCCUGGGAACCUUAUUUGUCCAUUAUAUGCAUUGCAGAAGAGACUGGCGCUCACCCUAUGAUGCUUGUCACCAUCUCACGUGGGUGGUGUGGGGACUACAGCAGGUGUGGGACACUGCCGGACAGCUGCUAGAUACCACGGUGUGGUGGCCAGGCAAAAACUGGAGCAACAGCUUGGUUUUGAUCUUCACCAUCUGCAAGGGCCUGCAGUUCAUCAUUCUAGGAAAAAGUCCAGCCUCUGCCAUUGGCCUCUGCAUCUUAGGUAGUUCUGGCCUCUUCCUCCAUGCCAGUAAUCAAAGAAAAUGGAGACUACUUGGCACAUCGCCACAGUGGAAACCUGGAAGCUGGUGAACUUAUUGUUACUCAAUUAAUUUUUGACACCGUGGAAACACACAGAUGUGUCUUUAUUUCUGCCACUGUGCACUCAACAAGUUUGUUCCUUGCUCUUAAUGCUUUUCUGGGGUGUUUUUUUAGGAACAUGAACAGUGCGUCUAUCAGCA